GACGAACGCUGGCGGCGGGCUUAACACAUGCAAGUCGAACGGAAAGGCCCUGCUUGUGUGUGGUGCUCGAGUGGCGAACGGGUGAGUAACACGUGAGUAACCUUCCCUGGACUUUGGGAUAACUUCAGGAAACUGGGGCUAAUACCGGAUAGGAGCGCCUGCUGCAGGGUGGGGGUUGGAAAGUUUGGGCGGUUGGGGAUGGACGCGGGGGUUAUCAGCUAGUUGGUCGGGUAGUGGCUUACGAAGGCUUUGAAGGGUAGCCCGCGUGAGAGGGUGACCGGCCACAUUGGGACUGCGAUACGGCGCAGACUCCUACGGGAGGCAGCAGUGGGGAAUCUUGCACAAUGGGCGGACGCCUGAUGAAGAAACCCCGCGUGCGGGAUGACGGCCUUCGGGUUGUAAACCGCUUUCGCCUGUGACGAAGCGUGAGUGACGGUAAUGGGUAAAGAAGCACCGGCUAACUACGUG
rnacentral:rRNA from 1 species